rnacentral:rRNA from 1 species
UACGUAGGUGGCAAGCGUUGUCCGGAUUUACUGGGUGUAAAGGGCGUGUAGGCGGGAUGGUAGGUCAGAUGUGAAAUGCCCAGGCUCAACCUGGGAGCUGCAUUUGAAGCCCCUAUUCUUGAGUGUCGGAGAGGGAAGUGGAAUUCCUAGUGUAGCGGUGAAAUGCGUAGAUAUUAGGAGGAACACCAGUGGCGAAGGCGACUUUCUGGACGAUAACUGACGCUGAGGCGCGAAAGCGUGGGGAGCAAACAGG